rnacentral:sRNA from 1 species
CAUCUUCCACCUGCUGCGGACAGAUGAAAUGGAUAUGCGCGUCGAAGCCGCCUGCGGUGAUGAUCUUGCCCUCGCCCGCGAUCGCCUCGGUGCCCGGGCCGAUGAUGAUGUCGACGCCCGGCUGGAUAUCCGGAUUGCCAGCCUUGCCGAUGCCGGCGAUGCGCCCGUCCCUGAUGCCGAUAUCCGCUUUGACGAUCCCCCAAUGGUCGAUGAUGGUGGCAUUGGUGAUCACCGUAUCGACGGCGCCCUGGGCGCGGGUGCGCUGGCUCUGGCCCAUCCCGUCGCGAAU